GAUGAAGAACGCAGCGAAAUGCGAUAAGUAAUGUGAAUUGCAGAAUUCAGUGAAUCAUCGAGUCUUUGAACGCACAUUGCGCCCCCUGGUAUCCCGGGGGGCAUGCCUGUCCGAGCGUCAUUGCUGCCCUCAAGCACGGCUUGUGUGUUGGGCCUCCGUCCUCCUCCCGGGGGACGGGCCCGAAAGGCAGCGGCGGCACCGCGUCCGGUCCUCGAGCGUAUGGGGCUUCGUCACCCGCUCUUGUAGGCCCGGCCGGCGCUUGCCGACACAUCAAUCUUUUUUCCAGGUUGACCUCGGAUCAGGUAGGGAUACCCGCUGAACUUAAGCAUAUCAAUAAGCGGAGGA
rnacentral:misc_RNA from 1 species